rnacentral:rRNA from 1 species
UCAGUGCAGGCCUUCAUACGGUGAAACCGCGAAUGGCUCAUUAAAUCAGCUAUGGUUUAUUGGAUCAUACCCGUUAAAUGGAUAACUGUAAUAACUCUAGAGCUAAUACAUGCCUCAAUGCCCUGACCUCGCUGGCUUUAUGAGCUGGUGAGGGAUGGGUGCACUUAUUAGAUCAGAAGCCAACCGAUUGUGCGUUAGUAGCUGUGAAAACGGCCGCUACGUGCGUUGAAAUACUUCUGGUGACUCUGGAUAAUUGUUACAGAUCGCAGUCGGCCUUGAGUCGGCGACGGGUCCUUCAAAUGUCUGCCCUAUCAACUUUCGAUGGUAGGUGACCUGCCUACCAUGGUUCUUACGGGUAACGGGGAAUCAGGGUUCGAUUCCGGAGAGGGAGCCUGAGAAACGGCUACCACUUCCAAGGGAGGCAGCAGGCGCGCAAAUUACCCAAUCCCAGUACGGGGAGGUGGU